UUCACAUUGAAUCACCGAAGUUAAGCAAAGUUGAGCCUGGUCAGUACUGAGAUGGGUGACUGCUUGGGAAUACCAGGUGCUGUAAG